AGGAAAUUUACUCUCAGGACUCAGACUACUUAUUUCCUCUAGAGCAAAUUCAUUGCCACUCUGGUUGGUAAAUACUAUCAAAUGUAUAAAUGAAAUCUGUACCUUCACAGGAAUUUCCCAGUUUGGGUGGAGAUGAAUUUCAGGACUGGCAAGCAGUCUUCUGCCUCCUCUAAUAUGAUAAUGAACAUUGAGCUAUUGGCUCAAAUAUACCUCUGUCAGAGAUUAGCAGUAGAUGUGACUUUGCUGUUUGUCUUGUUGUAGAACAGGGCUUUCAUAUUUCCCCAUUUUAUUUAAAAGCCCGUUUCCUCCUUCUCUCUACAGUAUAAGCACAAAUCAUAAUAUUUUCUUUUCUUUUCCAAUAAUAAAUGUCUGUAGGGGCUGCAGGCUUCAUUGUUUGGUAAGCCUGACAGAUUUCUCCUAUCAUUUGUUUGAUUAAAAGACUCAGUAACUUUUAGGAGUCUUGCUGCUGGUUUCUUCCCAUGUGAAUGAAAUACAAAACAAAAGGCUUGACGUGCCAAGGAGUAGGCAGGUGUGUUUACAUGGAUUCUAUCUAUAGCAGCUGUUUACUGUUGGAGAAUGGAUUUCUUCAUGCUGUGAACAACAUUAUGGAACUUUAAGAUUGUGUUAGCUCAAAGUGCUCUUUGACUGUCUUCUCUCUUUCUAACUUUGCUCAUGUUGGUCCUUGAGACAGUUGAGCCAGUCUUGUUCCUGGCGUUGUGGUGAGCCUGAACUAGAGAUCCCAUGAAUGGAUGAGCUGGAGACCUUAUCUAUGCUGAAGAUAUUAUGGUUACUAUUAGAAGAAGGAAGCUACCUUCAAAAAAACAACUAUUUAAUACUUCUAAUGAGUCUAGGAGUUGAACAGGGCUGUUCGGCUGACGUCGGCUGAGUCCAGCUGAUAUUGCUGGGAUCUCUGGUGGGUUUGUUGUCAGCUGAUGGCUCUGCUAAGGAAUGUCUGAUCUAGGUCAGCCUCAGCUGGAACAAUUCUGCUGUCCCCCGCCACAUGUUUCUUAUAAGCUUCUAAUGGGAUAACCAACGCACGUAAUCAGAGAAGCAAGAGAGAAGGCAGAAAACUCACAUGGCUUUCAAGCUUCUGCUAGCAUCAAAUGUGCUACUCUCGCCUUGAGCAAAACAAAUCACAUGGCAGAUGUCAGUGUGGGAGAGCAAAGAGACUUUUGAAGACCUUUGACAACUCUUCUAUCAGUCCUCUUGGGAACUCUAAGAGGAUGAUUUUAAGGACACUGUCAACUGGGAGAUCUUUUUCCAAACAAACACUGCUCUCAUUUUUGACAUCUGGAUUUUGACAUCAAGAGCUGCCCACAUUCUGAGCUUAGAACUCAUCUUUGAAAAGUUGGCUACUUUUUCUGACACAAGCCAAGAAAAGGUAUUUAUUUUAAAGGUAAGAAUGAGUAACAAAAA
rnacentral:lncRNA from 1 species